rnacentral:rRNA from 1 species
GAUGAACGCUGGCGGCGUGCCUAAUACAUGCAAGUCGUGCGGCAGCGGAUUCUGCACUAUCAACUUGAAGCCUGGACGCGGGGGAUUUCCAAAGGAAAUCAGCCGCAUCACUCCGAAAGGAGUGAAGGUCUGGGAUUAGUUCGAAGGGAUAGUGCAGAAUGCCGGCGAGCGGCGGACGGGUGAGUAACACGUAGGAAUGUACCCCAAAGUGAGGGAUAAGCANCGGAAACGGUGUCUAAUACCGCAUAUGGUCUUCGGAUUAAAGGAUUUAUCCGCUUUGGGCACAGCCUGCGCCCGAUUAGGUUGUUGGUGAGGUAAUGGCUCACCAAGCCCACGAUCGGUAGCUGGUCUGAGAGGAUGAUCAGCCACACUGGAACUGAGACACGGUCCAGACUCCUACGGGAGGCAGCAGUAAGGAAUCUUCCACAAUGGGCGAAAGCCUGAUGGAGCAACGCCGCGU